rnacentral:rRNA from 1 species
AAUGAACGUUGGCGGCGGGCCUAACACAUGCAAGUCGAACGCCUGUAGCAAUACAGGAGUGGCAGACGGGUGAGUAACACGUGGGAACGUGCCCUUCGGUUCGGAAUAACUCAGGGAAACUUGGGCUAAUACCGGAUACGUCCGCGAGGAGAAAGAUUCAUCGCCGAAGGAUCGGCCCGCGUCCGAUUAGCUAGUUGGUGGGGUAAUGGCUCACCAAGGCGACGAUCGGUAGCUGGUCUGAGAGGAUGAUCAGCCACACUGGGACUGAGACACGGCCCAGACUCCUACGGGAGGCAGCAGUGGGGAAUAUUGGACAAUGGGCGCAAGCCUGAUCCAGCCAUGCCGCGUGGGUGAUGAAGGCCCUAGGGUUGUAAAGCCCUUUCGGCGGGGAAGAUAAUGACGGUACCCGCAGAAGAGGCCCCGGCUAACUUCGUGCCAGCAGCCGCCGUAAAAC